UAAAAUUGUUUUUAAUUCUCAAAACACACUGAUAUUUUAUUUGAAAGACUUAAUUCAAAUCAACAAGGUGUAUGAUUGAUAACACUGUUAUCAGUGUAUCAAUCAUGCUUUCAACAAAUGUUUACUUAGCUUUUUCUAUGUGCCAAGUAGGCCCUAUUAGAAGAAUUAAAAUAGAAAGUCAAAAACUUUAAGUAGCCAGUUGUUCAUUUCUUUUACUUGUAAGAAACAAAGGUUCUUUCAGGGCACCAUUUUAGAAAAGGAAGAUUAAUUAUUGUCCUCUGUGAUAUAGAACCAGUGUGCUAGAAAAUCCGAAGCCACUUAAUGGCUGACUGCUUUCUCAGUAGCAGUGACCAUUCUGACUGCCUGCUGUGCAAUAAAAUACACCUAUUUUAAGUUUAUGAGUUUGACAGAUGUACAUACCUGUAUGAUUAAUAAGCACCACACUCAAGAUAAUACAACAUUUUCAUCACUCCGGAAAGUUCCCUUCACAUCCAACCCCCAUUCCCCUUCCCAUAGCCAGCCCCAGCUCUAAAUAUCUUGGUUAUCUUUCUAUUCUGUAUAUAAGAUUGUACUUUCCAACAGACACUAGUAUGGCAAUUUAUAAAUCAAUGGAUGUGUAACUGAUGUGAAUCUGCAAUCUGUGUAUGGGGUGAAGGUGGGAGUUCAUAACCCACUUGAAUCAAAGUGUGGAAUAUGAUAUGUCAAGAAAUUUGUAAUGUUUUGAACAACCCACAAUAAAAAAUUAAAAAAAAA
rnacentral:lncRNA from 1 species